AUGGAGGCGCCGCCGGACUCCUCCGUCGCCCCGGCCACCCCGCCCCUGGCCUCGGCCUCGGCGACGCCUGCGCCGGCCCCGUCCUCGCUCCCUCCGCCCGCGCCGGAGGUGCCGUCGGUUGUGGCCGUCGGCGCGAAGAGGCGGCGUGCUGGCCAGCACGUCAUCCUCCCCCAGCCCGCCCCGGCCGUCGCCCCGGCCGCAGCGACGCCGAAGGUGAGGAAGAAGCCCUCCCUUGGGCCGAAGGGGGCAGCGGCGCCGAAGGUGAAGAAGGCCACCUCCAGGAAGAAGCCGACGGCCGCCCCGGCCCCCGCACCUCCGCCCGUCGUGCACGAGGUGCUCGACGGAAUGCCUGCCCCGCCAAUGUCAUUCAUGGGGCUUCUCGAAGAAGCGGAGGUGGACAUCGGGGCUCCUUCUCUCGAACCCCUGGGGUUUGGUGAUGACUUGCAGGAAGAGGGUGAUGAGGAGGAAGGGGAAGAUGAGGAGGAGGUGACCGAGAUAGAGGAGGCGUUCGCCGCCGUUGCAAAACCCACCGUGCGCUCGACAAACUAUAGCGAGGACGAAGAUAUUCUCUUGGUUCGUGCUUGGGCACAUGUGGGGUUGGAUGCAAGCACCUGUACCGAUCAAACAGGUAAACGCUAUUGGCAACGCAUAAAGGACUUCUAUUGCAAGAUCAAGCCGGAGACCGGUGGGUACAUCCCUCGUAGUUGCCGGUCGCUUCAAGGCCGGUGGGAGUUGAUGAAGCCCCAUUGUGCUCGUUGGAGUGCGGCAAUGGACCAAGUGAAGGAUGCACCGCCUAGUGGAACCGUGGAGAGUGACUAUGUGAGUACAUAUAUGUUGUUCACAUUUAUUUUGAUUUUUUAUGCUAUUGUUAUGUGA
rnacentral:rRNA from 1 species